rnacentral:rRNA from 1 species
GUCUAGUGAUGAUAGCGAAGAGGUCACACCCGUUCCCAUGCCGAACACGGAAGUUAAGCUCUUCAGCGCCGAUGGUAGUUGGGGGGUUCCCCCUGUGAGAGUAGGACGUCGCUAGGCA